GCUCACCUUUGCGUGAUGUGACCAUAACGGAUGCUUAUUCCCAUGUCAUAGCUUCACUUCAGAUAAAUAAGACUGUUCACAUUCUUAUGUUGUAUCCUCGUGUAUCCUUGGAAAAUAACGCAGUGAGAACCGCUGCGCUUCAGCUGAAUAGGCUAUGAUGUUUCGGUGAAUGUCUCGAAUAUAAUUGCAAGACAGCGUUUGAUGUGUGGAGCGGAAGGCGUUAUUAAAAGUGAUUUGUUUUUUUCGAAGGGUUAUGAUUCAACUGCUCAUCUUCAAAAAAUCUUCUCUGGUGGACACAGUCACCAACUCAGCAUCACUGGAAUAUACCAUGCUACAGAGAGGAAGGGGGUGUGGCACCCGUGAACAAGAAUUUCACCACACAACACCAAUCAAUUAAUCUAUGCCUGACGACUGAAUUCCCAGGAAAUAGAGUAUGUUGCCUGGAAUAAGUGAGGAGACAAUCUUAUUCAAGCAAUACACCAACCACAGCCUGAGAAGCACAGGUGCCCAUUUGGUUUUAGUCGCUGGGUGGGAGGCAAGACAAAUUAUGUCAGUUUCAAGGAUCCAAUGAGAGACCAGCCUCAGGAGCUACUGGGCUCCUUGUGUAAAAGAGAAAAAAACAAUGGAGCUGGUUUCUCUGUUCCUCAGAGCAGCAGUGCCACAGGCUGCGCAGCAAGAGGCACAGCAGGAUGCACAGCAAUCAAGCACCUACUACGCUCCCCUGGCCAAUCGUACAACCAACCCAGCAGAAAACUCCUCCUCACACAAACCUACUGGCCCACUUGAACUCCAGUUUUCAAACCAUUUAGGGUUGUGGAUUUAAAUGUUUUAAGCACAUUAUAUAAUAUUUUUAGAUAUUCUGAAUAUGGACAGAAGUAUCUGGGAAUGAGAUUACUGUUGAGAUUACUAUGAAAAGC
ensembl:lncRNA